rnacentral:lncRNA from 1 species
GUCCUGUAACUGGUUUUCACUCACUCAACUGAGAGAUUUCUUUGUUGCAAUGAUGGGGUCUAAGAUAACACUUCUGGAGGCUGCAGGCGAGAAACACAGCUGAUAUCAUCUUUUAUUGUGUGUUGUUAUUUGCCUAGCAUUAUAAAUUAAGGAGGAAUAGUAACAAAGAGCUUGAAGACAUGCACAGCUCACAGGCCCCGGGUGGAGGCUGGCGACAUCAGACAGACAGAACCAAGACAUCUGAGGGGCAACCAGGAGGUGCGUGUGGCUGCAGAGCACACAGACUUGUCUUUGGACAAAAUUGAGAAGAACUCAUAAACUUGGCUUCCUCGCUUCUGCUCCUCAG